UCAGGACGAACGCUGGCGGCGUGCCUAACACAUGCAAGUCGAGCGAGGAGAUCCUUCGGGAUGAUCCUAGCGGCGGACGGGUGAGUAACACGUCGGGCAACCUGCCUCAUAGAGAGGAAUAGCCUUCCGAAAGGGAGAUUAAUACCUCAUAACAUUGCAGUUUCGCAUGGAACAGCAAUUAAAGGAGCAAUCCGCUAUGAGAUGGGGCCCGCGGCGCAUUAGCUAGUUGGUGAGGUAACGGCUCACCAAGGCGACGAUGCGUAGCCGACCUGAGGGGUGAUCGGCCACAUUGGGACUGAGACACGGCCCAGACUCCUACGGGAGGCAGCAGUGGGGAAUAUUGCACAAUGGGGGAAACCCUGAUGCAGCCAACGCCGCGUGAGUGAUGACGGCCUUCGGGUUGUAAAGCUCUGUCUUCAGGGACGAUAAUGACGGUACCUGAGGAGGAAGCCACGGCUAACUACGUGCCAGCAGCAGC
rnacentral:rRNA from 1 species